CCCUUAGAUGUUCUGGGCCGCACGCGCGCUACACUGAUGCAUUCAACAAGUUCUACCUUGGCCGAGAGGCCUGGGAAAUCUUUCAAAUAUGUAUCGUGAUAGGGAUAGAUUAUUGCAAUUAUUAAUCUUGAACGAGGAAUUCCUAGUAAAUGCAGAUCAUCAUUCUGCGUUGAUUACGUCCCUGCCCUUUGUACACACCGCCCGUCGCACCUACCGAUUGAAUGAUCCGGUGAAGCCUCGGGAUUGUGCCAAGAGAACUUUAUUGUGAUUUGGGUGUGAGAACUUGUCUAAACCUUAUCAUUUAGAGGAAGGUGAAGUCGUAACA
rnacentral:rRNA from 1 species